rnacentral:rRNA from 1 species
GAUGAACGCUGGCGGCGUGCCUAAUACAUGCAAGUCGAGCGAACAGAUGAGGAGCUUGCUCCUCUGACGUUAGCGGCGGACGGGUGAGUAACACGUGGAUAACCUACCUAUAAGACUGGGAUAACUUCGGGAAACCGGAGCUAAUACCGGAUAAUAUAUUGAACCGCAUGGUUCAAUAGUGAAAGACGGUUUUGCUGUCACUUAUAGAUGGAUCCGCGCCGCAUUAGCUAGUUGGUAAGGUAACGGCUUACCAAGGCGACGAUGCGUAGCCGACCUGAGAGGGUGAUCGGCCACACUGGAACUGAGACACGGUCCAGACUCCUACGGGAGGCAGCAGUAGGGAAUCUUCCGCAAUGGGCGAAAGCCUGGCGGAGCAACGCCGCGUGAGUGAUGAAGGUCUUCGGAUCGUAAAACUCUGUUAUUAGGGAAGAACAAAUGUGUAAGUAACUAUGCACGUCUUGACGGUACCUAAUCAGAAAGCCACGGCUAACUACGUG